UACGGGAGGCAGCAGUGGGGAAUAUUGCACAAUGGGCGCAAGCCUGAUGCAGCCAUGCCGCGUGUAUGAAGAAGGGCCUUCGGGUUGUAAAGUACUUUCAGUCGUGAGGAAGGUGUUAAGGUUAAUAACCUUAGCAAUUGACGUUAGCGACAGAAGAAGCACCGGCUAACUCCGUGCCAGCAGCCGCGGUAAUACGGAGGGUGCGAGCGUUAAUCGGAAUUACUGGGCGUAAAGGGCACGCAGGCGGUUAAUUAAGUUGGAUGUGAAUCCCCGGGCUUAACCUGGGAAUGGCAUUCAAGACUGGUUAGCUAGAGUCUUGUAGAGGGGGUAGAAUUCCAUGUGUAGCGGUGAAAUGCGUAGAGAUGUGGAGGAAUACCGGUGGCGAAGGCGGCCCCUGGACAAAGACUGACGCUCAUGUGCGAAAGCGUGGGGAGCAAACAGGGAUUAGAUACC
rnacentral:rRNA from 1 species